UUCUGCACAGGGAUCAGUCCCCUCUCACAUCCUGGCCCUCAUACGACGUGAGCACAUUCUAAUCUGCUGAUUACAAAUCCAACAGGUCCAACAAUAGGAAGUGAAUUCUACACAAACAUGGCUUCCCUGGGUCCUUAAACAAUGCACUGCUCACCCUGGAUUCCCAGCAGACUGCUGACAAGCAGGAAGGUCCGAGGACAACACAGUGAGCAGUGGUGAGGUCUAGUACCAUAGGUAAGUUUUUCCACCCACCUAAGCCUAUCCUCUCAUCUGAAAAAUGGACUUCUUGUGAUAGUAUCUCUUUCACAGGCUAUUAGUUUGGUAUGCUUAAAUAAAACAGCUCCUGUGAAAGCUAGCCCAGGAGGUCAGCUUAUGUGAGCUAUUGCUCUUAUCACACAUUAUGCUCCCCAACGGGCUGUCAGCUCCCUAAGGACAAAGAUGACUAUGUCUGACUGUACAAAUCCAGUACCCUGUGAUGUCUGCAGGGGAGAGAUUCAACAAAUUACUGUUGAAUUCUUGAAAACCGCUUUGAAAUCCUCCGGUGAAAGGCAUUUGGAAAUCACAAUCCCCAAAGUUGUCAGUCAGUCAGUCUGUCAGCCUGUCAUCCGUUCAGUUCCAAUGCAGUGUGAUGACAUGGAGAGUAGCCCUGGACAGACCUACGUCCGAAUCUAGUUCCUUCCACUCACCAGUUUGGGCAAGUCACUUUACCUCUCUGAACUUCAGUUUUCGCACCGAAAACAUGGAUAUCACCACACUAACCUAUUAGAUUGUUGUGGAGAUUAAAUAUGCAAAACACCAGGGCUCCGCCCCUGGAAUCUGUUGUUCCUGCUCUGCAGACAGUUCAGAGAGUUAGUGCAGAUGGCUGUGUUGGGCGCUGACCGGGGUGGAGGCCUGGCAUUUCUGGCUUGGUGAGCAUUCCUGAACCUUUUAUUGGCAGCAUCAAAGAUGCCGGCAGCUGGUAGCAAACUGGCACCAGUGUCUGGCAGAGACAUAAAAAUGGGACCUCACCCCGUAAGGCUCUGUUCUAACCCUACCCUGCCUGGAGGCUAGUUCCAAACACUCCCUGGGCCUGUGGGCUGUCGGUGGUAAGAGGUAUCUGCUUUGAAGUUGGCAAUUGCACCCAAAGUCUUCCCUGCUUUAAAAAAAAAAAAAAACUACCACCAACAAUAAAC